GAUGAACGCUAGCUACAGGCUUAACACAUGCAAGUCGAGGGGCAGCACUAGGUAGCAAUACUGAGGUGGCGACCGGCGCACGGGUGCGUAACGCGUAUCCAACCUUCCCGAUACUCUUGGAUAGCCUUCCGAAAGGGAGAUUAAUACAAGAUGGUGUUUCACUUUCGCAUGUUAUUGAAACUAAAGAUUUAUCGGUAUCGGAUGGGGAUGCGUGACAUUAGAUAGUAGGCGGGGUAACGGCCCACCUAGUCUACGAUGUCUAGGGGUUCUGAGAGGAAGGUCCCCCANACUGGAACUGAGACACGGUCCAGACUCCUACGGGAGGCAGCAGUGAGGAAUAUUGGUCAAUGGUCGGAAGACUGAACCAGCCAAGUAGCGUGAAGGAUGAAGGUUC
rnacentral:rRNA from 1 species